rnacentral:misc_RNA from 1 species
AACGCCUCACUUCGUCGACUGCGGCACGCACACUGGGAGAACAUUUUCGAGGCCCACGCUCCGCAAAGAAGGGAGGACAAAACAAAACAAAGCUCUGACCCACUCUACCGAGAUUUCAGGAGCAACACCCCCGCAUGUCCUCGUUGAGUCUCGUUUUUCUCUCGAGACGCAGUCGACCGUGCUAGUGGUAAAAAAAAGAGGGGUGCACGGAGCGACAAGAUGCCGACCAAGAUGGCAGCGGCGGACUUCGAGUUCGGUCCGCCCCUGGGUACUGGGGCGUUCAGCAAAGUGGUCGUUGGCUUGUAUAAGCCGACAAACGUCCGGUAUGCGGUGAAAUUUAUUUCAAAGAGGUCCAUUCUUGACGCCCCAACGGAUGAAGAACGCACUCGAAUGGCUGAGGUGGCUCGGCGAGAAACGAGAAUGCUGCUCAUGUGUGAGCACCCCAACAUCGUCAAGUUCCAUGCCUCAAUGCAGACGACGGAGGAUUUGCUGUACGUUACAGAGCUUUGCGAAGGAGGGGAGCUGCUAAAGCAUAUUGAAAGGUGGGGACACAUACCUCUCGAGGCUGCACGCCACGCAAUUGCCGAAUUGUUCUCAGCCGUCUUCUACCUCCACCACGGCGAAAAGAAGAGCAACUCUGGUCCAAGUGGACCGGCCAUGAAGCCGCUGACGGUGAUACACCGCGACAUCAAGCCGGAAAACAUAAUGCUCAGCGCUGACAAGCAUCUCCGCCUCAUCGAUUUUGGAACGGCCGUUGUGUGCCAGUCUGCGGAUGACAAGGCGACAGGCGAGGAGACUGGCAGCGGUCGGGCCCAGACCUUCUGUGGAACCACCUAUUACAUGUCUCCCGAGCUGUUGGAAAGCAGUUAUACGUGCUGCGCGUCUGACUACUGGGGCUGCGGCUGCGUACUGUACUUGAUGCUCGUGGGCCAGCGCCCUUUUGACGCGUCCACGCAGUACUUGCUCAUCAAAACCAUCCUUGAAAAGGAGCCAGAGUUUCCUGAGGACAUGGACCCAGACGCGAAAGACCUGAUUCGCAAGCUACUGGUGAAGGACCCAAAGGCGCGUAUCGGUAUGAAGGAGAUCAAGCGUCACCCGUUUCUGGCAUCUGUCAACCUCUCCACUGUUGCGAACCAAGACGUGGCCGAUUUUUGGCUGCGGGAGACACCGUGGGUGGACGAGGCGAGCAUCUCGGCGUGCAUGGCGUGCCAGCGGCCGUUUGGAAUCUUGCGGAGCAAGCAGUUCUGCCACAACUGCGGCCGUAUCACGUGCAACUCCUGUAUCCGAGACCUCCGGAUUAUUCCGGAAUCUCGGUGGAAGGCGCCCCAGCGCGUGUGCACGGCUUGUGCUGGGACAUUGAACGGUGUGUCUACAUUGUAGCCCACUUGAAUGUGCUGCUUUCUUCUUUGCUUUUGCCAUUUCAGUUGGGGCGCGAUUUCCAUCCAGGCUCCCGAGAUCGUAUCUGAAGUUCUUCUGCGCUGUACGUGUCUUCUAGCUG